GACAACACACGGGGGAGCCUGUAAUGGCUGAGAUGGCAGAACUGAUUGCCGAACCCUUUGUACCUGAUCUGGAUUAUACCAGCGUAGGGAAGUGGCAGAAGAAUAAUC
rnacentral:ncRNA from 1 species